rnacentral:lncRNA from 10 species
AUUUGUAACAUCACAUAAGCUCUGGGAGAAAAAUCAAGCAGGUAAAGGGGCUGUAGGGUGAUGUUUAUGUAAGGAGGUCAAGGGAGGCUUCUCGAGGAAGGGACAUUUGGACAGAGACCUGGACAUUUGUACAGGAAGGGACGUAGUGAGGGUGCGAACCACGUGGCCAGCUGCAGGCAGAACCUUUUUGGCAGAGAGAACAGCACGCACAAGGCCUGCAUGGUGGCAUGAUUGGGGCGUUUGAGGAAUACCAAGGCAGCCAUGGUAGGCAAAACUCUAGAGCUGGCUCCAGAUUCUCAUUCUCCGAUUAUUCAACCAAACAGGAAUCCAGGUGCUGCUGCGAAGGGUUUGCAGUUGAAAUGAAAGUCCCAAGUCAGUUGAUCUUAGGAUAUGAAAAUGAUCCUCAUGGCCCUAAUCUAAUCAGAGGGGCCCUUUAAGAGCAGAGGAUCCUCUCUGGCUGGUGCAGGAGAGGUCAGAGUGUUUGGAAGCACGAAAAGGAUUCCAGGGGCCCUUGCUGGCUGAAGAUAGAGGAAGCCAUGAGACAAGGAAUGCAGGUGGCCUCUCCAGGUGCUGAGAGCUGCCCCUGGCUGAAAGCCACCAAGGAAAUGGGGACUAUCGUCCUGUAACCACAAGGACCUGGAUCCUGCAGUUAGAGAAAUGAGCGCAGAAGAGAACUCAAGCUCCUGAUUUCCUUAGCCAACUUCAAGCUGGACACUGCACAGCUGAAUCCCCCUGGAGCACUGGAGCUGGACGCUAAUGAAGUCGCCACUGAAAUCUUGGGAAUCUUCGAAGAAGACAGAGAAGCCGAGAGGCAGCAUCUGAGGUCACCAACCAGGGCCAUCAGCCCACAGGUCACAGCCUCCAGCAAGCAAGGGACUUGUGUGGCUUGUGACUCAGUGUUGGAGAUAAUUGCACAGAGACCUGUUUCCCUUUUCUUCUUAUCCAUUUAUCUGCAACACUGAAACUCCCACCCUCUUUUGCAUAAUACAUGCAACGAGGGAAGCUGUCCCUAUCAUCACAUGCUUGUGAACUGCCGUAUGGGUCAGCUUCUCACUGUGUCCGGCUGUCUGGCUGCCGUUCCCAGGGGUACAGCAUCCCCACUGUGACCCUGCUGAGAUUCCAUCUUGGGGUUAUGGGUUCUUAUGUGCUGGUCACAGAUGAACGACUUCACAUACUAGGCUGUGCUGAUCUUUUUACCACUCACCCAAAAAUAGGCAAAAGACACAUCCAAGAGGCCCCUUGCUGAGUCAGCUAAGCUGCUGGUGAGGGGGAUGUGGGGAGUCCCUGCAGGGUCCUGGCCUUGGUCCUCACGUUGAGCCCUAGGCUCCAACAGCUGGGGCGAGUAGAUGUGGUAUAAGCACUCCAACCCCCAGUGCAACCUCAUCAGCCAUCUCUUUCGGUUGCCAUUUCAAAACCCUAGUAUAAUUUUCACUGCUGUGUGGUGGUAUUUAAUUUUACCAAAGUAUGACAAACUCGCAAAUACAUUCCCUUUGGGGCUUUUCUCACUCCUCCUCCCACUUUAAAACAUAACACAUUUCAAACAAACCGUAAAUUCUUCCCCUUUCAACUCCUGUCCAUGUCUUUCCCUUUGGGCUGCUUUAUGUUUCUUCCUAUCACCUUCUGACAUGAUGUGAUGAUGUCUGAUGUUACAUCUGACUCUCCGGGUGCUGCCGGCAGUGGCAGCUUCAGGGGGACAGAGGCUUUGCAAGUCUUUUGCUGCUUCCUUCCCUGUGUCUAGAAUAGUGAGUUGUCUGGUGCCUUGUAGGAACUCAAUCAAGAUUUGGUGAAUAGUGGCACUAAGCCAUUCACUAAAUAU